rnacentral:rRNA from 1 species
GACGAACGCUGGCGGCGUGCUUAACACAUGCAAGUCGAACGGAAAGGCCCUGCGCUUGUGGGGUGCUCGAGUGGCGAACGGGUGAGUAACACGCGAGUAACCUGCCCUUGACUUUGGGAUAACAUCAGGAAACACGGGCUAAUACCGGGGAGGAGAUCCUGAUGCACGGUGGUGGUUGGAAAGUUUCGGCGGUGGGGGCUGGACUCGCGGGUUAUCGGCUUGAUUGUGGGGUAGUGGCUUACCAAGGCUUCGACGGGUAGCCGGCCUGGGAGGUUGACCGGCGACCUGGGGACUGAGGUACGCCGCAGACUCGAACGGUCGGCAAUAGUCGGAAAUCUUACGGAACGGGGGGGAGUGUGAUGCGAAGAUCUCGGGUGCGUAAAACUCUGCUACGAGUGAAAAACCACUUUCUCCGUUACCGUAGAGUGAGUGACGGUACUUGGUAAAGAAGCCCCGGCUAACUACGUG